UGGGGAAUAUUGGACAAUGGGCGCAAGCCUGAUCCAGCCACGCCGCGUGAGUGAUGAAGGCCUUCGGGUCGUAAAGCUCUGUGGGGAGGGACGAACCGCUGCCGGUUAAUACCCGGCAGCAUGACGGUACCUCCUUAGCAAGCACCGGCUAACUUCGUGCCAGCAGCCGCGGUCAUACGGAGGAUCCAAGCGUUAUCCGGAAUUACUGGGCGUAAAGAGUUGCGUAGGUGGCAUAGUAAGCAGGUAGUGAAAGCGUGUGGCUCAACCAUACUCACAUUAUCUGAACUGCUAAGCUAGAGGAUGAGAGAGGUUAUUGGAAUUCCCAGUGUAGGAGUGAAAUCCGCAGAUAUUGGGAGGAACACCGAUGGCGUAGGCAGAUAACUGGCUCAUUCCUGACACUAAGGCACGAAAGCGUGGGUAGCAAA
rnacentral:rRNA from 1 species